rnacentral:rRNA from 2 species
UGGGGAAUAUUGCACAAUGGAGGAAACUCUGAUGCAGCGACGCCGCGUGAGUGAAGAAGGUCUUCGGAUCGUAAAACUCUGUCCUUGGUGAAGAUAAUGACGGUAGCCAAGGAGGAAGCCCCGGCUAACUACGUGCCAGCAGCCGCGGUAAUACGUAGGGGGCGAGCGUUGUCCGGAUUUACUGGGCGUAAAGGGUGAGUAGGCGGUUGUAUAUGUCAGGUGUAAAAGGCUAUGGCUUAACCAUGGUUAGCACUUGAAACUGUACAACUUGAGUGCAGGAGAGGUAAGUGGAAUUCCUAGUGUAGCGGUGAAAUGCGUAGAUAUUAGGAGGAACACCAGUGGCGAAGGCGACUUACUGGACUGUAACUGACGCUGAGUCACGAAAGCGUGGGUAGCAAACAGG